CCGGAAGAAACACCUGCCGGCGCCAGGCAAGUGUGCCAAGAAGAUGCUCCGCCUGCGUUGGUUGAGGGUGUUGCUUAUGAAAGACAGAAAAAAGAAACAGAGCCAACCUUUUCCUAACUCCCAGAUUUCCUGAAGAAGCAUGGAAGAGCUUGUGUUGGUGAAAUAGUGUGAGGGCUUGUACGUAGCUUCCUCAAUGGUUGUCAAGAAAGACGAGGAACCCAAACACAGCCAUCAGAGGUGACGUCCCAGUGGACAGCCAUCCACUUUUGAGCACACGAUGUACAGCCAGAUAUAAGCCUACCUGCUGACUCCAUCACCUAGUCUACGUUUCUCUAUCUCACUCACAAGAGACGCCAUGGGGGAAGUUUUUCAGAUUCCUCACCAAAUCCGAGUAUGGGAUACGAAGGUUUGGUGUUGCCUUAUCGGUCUUCUGCUCUCUGGGAAGCACACGCACUGUUCCUGCUGACAGAGGUAUAUCAGUCUGCCUGGUUAAAGUUAAUGUUAGUACAAAAUAAUAAACUGGGUGGUUUAUCAUGAGAAAAAAAUAAAUAAAUGGCUCUUAGCUCUCUUACUUUUCUCAUUGGACAAGUGAACAGAUUUCCCUACUCCACGGAGCUUUCCGGAACUGGGGAGCAGAUGGACAGUACCACACACCAUCACCCAGAGCAGGUCAUUCUGGGCAUUUCUCACUGGAAUGUGGCUGAAAAGACUAUUUUGGCUGGUGAUUUUCCUGAGCCUCAGAUCGUCCCAGGCUCUCCUGAUAUUAUUGUUACCAUGCUCUGCCAUUUUGAGUCUCUCUUCUUGCACUGGGAACCUCCCUCCAUCCUGUCACCUUUUAAAAUGUGGGCUUCUGGGGCGCCUCGCUGGUUCAGUCAGUUGAGCGUCCAGCUUCAGCUCAGGUCAUAAUCUCCCGAGUCGUGGGUUCAAGCCCCGUGUUGGGCUCU